rnacentral:rRNA from 1 species
GAUGAACGCUGGCGGCGUGCCUAAUACAUGCCAGUCGAGCGAACAGAUGAGGAGCUUGCUCCUCUGACGUUAGCGGCGGACGGGUGAGUAACACGUGGAUAACCUACCUAUAAGACUGGGAUAACUUCGGGAAACCGGAGCUAAUACCGGAUAAUAUAUUGAACCGCAUGGUUCAAUAGUGAAAGACGGUUUUGCUGUCACUUCUAGAUGGAUCCGCGCCGCAUUAGCUAGUUGGUAAGGUAACGGCUUACCAAGGCAACGAUGCGUAGCCGACCUGAGAGGGUGAUCGGCCACACGAGAACGUAGACACGGUCCAGACGACUACGAGAGGCAGCAGUAGGGAAUCUUCCGCAAUGGGCGAAAGCCUGACGGAGCAACGCCGCGUGAGUGAUGAAGGUCUUCGGAUCGUAAAACUCUGUUAUUAGUGAAGAACAAAUGUGUAAGUAACUAUGCAGGUCUUGACGGUACCUAAUCAGAAAGCCACGGCUAACUACGUG